rnacentral:rRNA from 1 species
GAUCAACGCUGGCGGCGUGCUUAACACAUGCAAGUCGAACGAAGUUUUUCCUUCGGGAGCAACUUAGUGGCGGACGGGUGAGUAACGCGUGGGUAACCUGCCCUGUACAGGGGGACAACAGCUGGAAACGGCUGCUAAUACCGCAUAAGCACUUAGCACUGCAUGGUGCAUAGGGAAAAGGAGCAAUCCGGUACAGGAUGGACCCGCGUCUGAUUAGCCAGUUGGCAGGGUAACGGCCUACCAAGGCGACGAUCAGUAGCCGAUCUGAGAGGAUGUACGGCCACAUUGGGACUGAGACACGGCCCAGACUCCUACGGGAGGCAGCAGUGGGGAAUAUUGCACAAUGGAGGAAACUCUGAUGCAGCGACGCCGCGUGAGUGAAGAAGUAUUUCGGUAUGUAAAGCUCUAUCAGCAGGGAAGAAAAUGACGGUACCUGACUAAGAAGCACCGGCUAAAUACGUG